rnacentral:rRNA from 1 species
AGUGAACGCUGGCGGUAGGCCUAACACAUGCAAGUCGAACGGCAGCACAGUAAGAGCUUGCUCUUACGGGUGGCGAGUGGCGGACGGGUGAGGAAUACAUCGGAAUCUACUUUUUCGUGGGGGAUAACGUAGGGGAACUUACGCUAAUACCGCAUACGACCUACGGGGGAAAGCAGGGGAUCUUCGGACCUUGCGCGAUUGAAUGAGCCGAUGUCGGAUUAGCUAGUUGGCGGGGUAAAGGCCCACCAAGGCGACGAUCCGUAGCUGGUCUGAGAGGAUGAUCAGCCACACUGGAACUGAGACACGGUCCAGACUCCUACGGGAGGCAGCAGUGGGGAAUAUUGGACAAUGGGCGCAAGCCUGAUCCAGCCAUACCGCGUGGGUGAAGAAGGCCUUCGGGUUGUAAAGCCCUUUUGUUGGGAAAGAAAAGCAGCAGGUUAAUACCCCGCUGUUCUGACGGUACCCAAAGAAUAAGCACCGGCUAACUUCGUG